AGGGCGGCUUCCCUCCUUUAGGAGCUGUAUAUACAUUAAUCACUGAAUCACCAAGCCAUGCUUAAUUGCAAGCUGUAUAUCACACAAAUCCAUGGGAAUGCAGAAAAGGUAUUACACCACUAAUUACAGCCCACACUGGCACCUCUAUCUGCUGCCUGGAAGAGAAAACGGAACUCUCUCAGAUCGGCAGAUCUGCAGUUAUCCCUGGUUUCUGCCUCAUUGCUGCUAAGUGAGUUUUUAUAUGACGCUUGUGUCCCCCAAUCCCACCCCUUCUCC
rnacentral:lncRNA from 1 species